GCAGUCGUGGCCGAGUGGUUAAGGCGUCUGCCUCGAAAUCAGAUUCACUGUGGGAGCGUAGGUUCGAAUCCUACCGGCUACG
rnacentral:tRNA from 1 species